UACAGAGGUCUCAAGCGUUGUUCGGAUUCAUUGGGCGUAAAGGGUGCGUAGGCGGCGCGGUAAGUCGGGUGUGAAAUCUCGGAGCUUAACUCCGAAACUGCAUUCGAUACUGCCGUGCUUGAGGACUGGAGAGGAGACUGGAAUUUACGGUGUAGCGGUGAAAUGCGUAGAUAUCUGGAGGAACACCGUGGCGAAGGCGCAUCCUGGACCGGCAUUGACGCUGAGGCGCGAAAGCCAGGGGGAGCAAACGGGG
rnacentral:rRNA from 1 species